CUCACACAGACUUUGCUCUCAGCUGAGAACUACUGUUUCAUUGUGGAACUAUACACAUCUUGUCCUCGUACUGUCGCUAUACUUACUGUAUGCACUUUUGUACGUUGCUUUGGAUAAAAGCGUAUGCUAAAUAAAUAAAUGUAAAUGUAAAACUGAUAGAAUGACAAAUACAGCAGUAAAAUGGUUAAAUACAAGGACUGAAAAUAAGGAGUUAAAACUCGAACCCUCCCACUUCUGUUCUUGAUUCCUUUUUUUUUUUCAUUUUACAAACUAUGCAAUGUUCUACCAGAUAGACCCACACAUUCUCACACUUUUGAGUCUUAGGAGGUGAACAUGAUAAAAAGCUUAUUAUUAUGAGGUUUGUGAAUGAAUAUGUUCAGGGCCCUUUCACAACACAUUCAUGAAUAAAAACAAGGAGGAGUAAAAAAAUGUCCAUAGUUAAGACUGCAUCUUCGCAAGACCACACAGUUGGACAAACACUAUACUCAAUGUAAAGCACUAUGGGUUGGCUUUCAGUGCAAAAAGACUGCCGUAAGAAAAAAAAAAACAGCACUAUAUACACCCACAAUACAACUACAUAUCAACACAGAAGUAACUACAGUAACUCAUUUUUGUGUGAUAAGUUUUACUGAUUCUCAUUUGUGGUGGAUAAAAACUUCACAAAACGACAAAAACUAUUAUCCACUGUGUAAACACUUUCAAAAGUCCUAUGUAUGACAAAAUACUAAUUUAGCUCUUCCUUUACAUUAAUUCUUGGAGAGUUCAGUAGUACCUUUUAAAGUCAUUGGUCCUCAGAUGCUAAUGUCACACAUUCUGAGCUCUUAGCGAGCUCCUGAUUCUCCUGAUCCCUUUUAGAACUUGACACUGACUGUAAAAUUAUGGCUGUAUGUAAUCAUCAAUUAAUGAUCUAAAUUCACUUUCAGAAUUUCCAUGGGCAAGCUUUUUAUGAAAUGGGUUUCACCGAAUUCCAUCAUUUAUGGUUGACCAGUGAAACGCAUAAUCAAAACACUAGCAGUUGAAGGUUAACUAUCAAUUUAUGUAACCUUGUCAAGAACGUUAGUAAAGUUGUUGAUGGACCUGGGCAGAUCGUUUCAAGUUUUUCCUGUGCCAAGCAAUCAGUAAAGUUUAAUUACCCAAUGUCAACGUCAUGGUGGCAGACUACAUGCACUGAAAAAAUGAAUCUGGGAGAAUGUAAGUGUAACACAAUGAAAUCUGUGAUAUUAAUGAUAAAAUCUAAGUUCAUUACUAAGUUCAUUAGUGUCAGGUUUAGUGAUUAAUCUGCAUUUGUUCAGAAAACAUAAUAUUUUUCACUAUUUCUUUAACAACGUAAUUCCAACCUAUUUUACCAGCUGGUAUUCAGGCACUGGCAGAGGUGUGACAGGCAGAAAUGCCUCGCAGGUUUCAACAUCAGCCCGUCCCUAAACUGUUGCAUAUGCUCUUGAAAUAUCAGGCCACGCUGUGCAUUCUGGUUGUUAUUGUGCACGGGCAAAACCCAUGCACAUGUUGGUGAGACAAGGUGGAGCAGACAGAUGACGACUGAAAAUUUUGAACGUCUUUAGACAGAGCCCUGAAGAGAAGUUGUGAUCCGAGGCCUCCUUACCUUGGAGAGAAGGUGGAGGACUUGAUCAAAGAUAAAGAACAAAGGAUUCCAGGGCCUUCUCUGAAUACCUUGAAGGCCCUGACGGUUUGCCACUGAUGGACACACUCUACACGCAGCGCUGUAGGAGGAAAGCACAGAGCAUCCUCAGCGAUCAUAACCAUCCAGCUCACUCUGCUCAGGUGGAAGAACUCAGGGUACAACCUCAGACACCACAGGCCAGAGAGGUUCACCUUUCACAAGGCAUGCUUUCACAACAGCCUUUUCCCAGCAAUUGUCAGAUUGAUUGCUAAGGACAUUAAGGCAGGAAGGAAAUACCACACCCCCCACCUUACUCACACCAUGGACAAUUAACUCCUCACACACUUGCACCUUACGGACUGGGUUUGUUAAUACUCAAAUACUGUACCCCCUCUCACUCUCCGAGUCUCUGUCAGACGGAGUCUUCCCAGUCCAUUGUUAUUUUCCAUUGUU